rnacentral:rRNA from 1 species
GACGAACGCUGGCGGCGUGCUUAACACAUGCAAGUCGAACGGAAAGGCCCUGCUUUUGUGGGGUGCUCGAGUGGCGAACGGGUGAGUAACACGUGAGUAACCUGCCCUUGACUUUGGGAUAACUUCAGGAAACUGGGGCUAAUACCGGAUAGGAGCUCCUGCUGCAUGGUGGGGGUUGGAAAGUUUCGGCGGUUGGGGAUGGACUCGCGGCUUAUCAGCUUGUUGGUGGGGUAGUGGCUUACCAAGGCUUUGACGGGUAGCCGGCCUGAGAGGGUGACCGGCCACACUGGGACUGAGAUGCGGCACAGACUCCUACGGGAGGCAGCAGUGGAGAAUAUUGCACAAUGGGCGGAAGCCUGAUGCGGCAACGCCGCGUGCGGGAUGACGGCCUUCGGGUUGUAAACCGCAUUCGCCUGUGACGAAGCGUGAGUGACGGUAAUGGGUAAAGAAGCACCGGCUAACUACGUG